UAAGGGGACUUGGACUUGGGGUUACACCAUCAAAAAUAGAUGGAAAUACACAAAGCAGUGAGAAAGUGAGAGACCUUGAGAGAAAAUUACAAACUCAAUCAGUAAGGAUGGAAGCACUCGAAGAAAAGGUUGAAGCACUUCUGAAGUUAUCCCAGAAUCAAAAUAAGAAUGUAGAGGAUAUGAGUUCACGUGCUUUUACUCCACAGUCUCAACAAGGAAGUGGUAUGGAGGGAGGUAUUGCACCAGUGGAAAAUGGAAAGUGUCAACUAUUGCACUGG